CUUGAUGAUGAUCCCAUGAUAAGUUAGCAUUAUCUUUUUUGAAUUGGCAGGUAAGGUCCUACCGACGACAAUAUUUGACUUCGUUGUAUUUUUGUUCCUCUCACGGGACAUCAUACCAGAGUUGAAACCGAACUGAAGGGGGACGCCAUGGAGCAAGUCGAGUUCGUGGAGCAAGUCAUGGACGAUGCCAAGGAAGGUUCAAAAGAUACAUGGAUGAUUAUAUGGGUGCAUGACAAGUACACUGCAAUAUGAUGAUGAUGAUGAUCUUCCAGUUCAUGAUUAUGAUGAUGGAUGCUUUCAGUUUUAGUUAAGUUGUAGGGAUGUUGUUCCUAUUCGAUGAUGUUCCUCUGUUAUGUUUUAGUUAAGUAUGAGGGAUGUUGAUUAAUGCUUUUAGUUAAGUUUCUUUCUCGAGAAAUAUUUAAAUAUGCAUCACAUUUAGAUGCUCUUCCUCCUGUAAUAUCCACUACUGUAAUCCAACAAUUUUAUCCAAUAUAUGAUUUCUUCCUCUUGUGAGUA